GUUUUAACGAGCACUUGUGUGCUUGUUUUAACGAGCACACAAGUGGUUUUCUUUGUUAUUCAUAUGAACAUGCAAAGGAUUUGGAUAGCUGUCCAGAAAAGUAUAUUAAAUAAAAUGUUGAUCUUCUAUCGGCCGCAAAAGUCCGCUAGCGUCAACAUUUUGUUUUGUUUUGAUAUCCAACUAUUUUUUUAAUUCCUUGCCAGUAGAUGGCACUAAGGAUCCACCAAAACCAGUCCAGCAAAGCAGCCGGGAAGCACGUUGCAAGCAACAGCGGGGAACUCAGAGCAGGUUAAUUACAGCAUCGCCUGCAUGGGAACGUGAGCAGCACCAGUCAGAAGAUGCACAGCAACUAUAUGAGAAAGAUAAUGAGAAAACCAGCAAGAGUAGUGGAUCAGUGUGCAGGAGUGAGAGGUUGCAGAGAGCAAAGCGUGAGACACCUGGAGGCAACGUUUAACGGGAACGCCGAUCUGAUAUCACCACCACCACCACAGACUCAGCGGACAAGUCCUGUCCGCCAACCUUCCACCCAUGAACACGCUCCCAGUAGCCACCCUGUAAUUAGGAAUGACCUCGCGAUCAGAGAGACAGAUGAAGGCAGCGCGCCAGGGGUGGUGGGCCCAG
ensembl:lncRNA